UCAUGAAUUCUUGGCAGCCCACUGCCCCCUUUUCUCUUUUCUUGGUGGCUUCUGCCCAUUACUCCAAACCGCCCCCAACCUUAUCCCCCAUCAAAAACGUAAGUUUUGCAUGAUAUCCACAACUCCUCAAAUCUAAAAACCCUAACUUACGCAUAUUAUAUCUGCUCUACAUUCCUUUCGCUACUGUUGAUGUGAGAAUCAAGCUUUGGAAUCCCUCAAGUAAUUCGGCUCGGGCCCUUAACCAUUCACAUCGCACAUACAACUCGGACGUGGUUGACCAUACCAGCUCAAGUAAUUUAAUCUGUCGAGCUAAGCUAAGAUCUACAGGUACAGCUACGGACGGACAUUGCAAGCGGAUGGAGUGUGUGUGGUUUGGAAAGUGAAUGACCCUUGACUUACAAGUGGCGGAGGCAGAGGUCGAGUUAGGGACAGAGGCAGAGUAAAUGCAGAACGAGGUCCUGGUGUGACUGACCGGAAUCGAAUCUUCUACAUCAAAGCAGGGACCCAACCAACAGCCACUCAUAUUCCACCAAAGAGUGAUAGUGUAGUCGUUCCAAGCACCGGUGGCAGAGACCUCAAUCAGAAUGCUGGUCUUUGAUGAGAGUACACAUAAGUAUAAUAUUUUAAUACUUUGUUUAAAAAAUAAAAUUAAAUAAUUGAAAAUGCGUAAGUAUUAAAAAAUGACUUUUAAUCGGAUCGGUAGAAAUGUUAACCCACGCUCGUGCAAGCGCUUCCAACUCUAUUUGAAUCCAAGGAAUGCUUGGUGCCUUUCACUUGUGUCUGCUUUCCUCCUAGUGUCUGUUUUUCCUUUCUUGCUCUUCGUGGUUUGUGAUUGCGUUUCAGGUAUAACAUCAUCGUCUGCGCCCAAAAAAAACUUAAGUGUGCUCGGGUUCUUGUGACGCUUGGAUCCGUGGCAUUUGGAUGGAUUGUGAUUGCAUUUAUUUGCAUAGAAAGUUGUUGUUGGAUUUGAAUUUGCCACGGUUUGGUGUUUGACUAAAACCGCCAAACGUCAACAUAUUCGGAUCUAUCGGUGUCGUGGCCCGUGGGGUAUACGAGUGGCGAUUGGGUAGAAGGUUUUCCGGGUGUGUUUGGGAAGGGAUGUGCGGAGAAUUUUUAAAAAUUCUGAUGAAUUUCUCAAAAAAAAAUCAAGGACAAAAAGCAACAUUAUUCAAAAGCGUCUUCAUUUAUAAUGUUAAUAGGGAGAAUUGGAGGUUGUGAAAGGGAUUAACGGUAGUAGAAUGCCAUUGGACCAUAAUUCCUCAGGUUUGUGCUUUCAACUUUUUAUUAAUAAUUCUUAUUUGCAGAUAAUGUUGGCUGGCAAUCAGGAACUUAGGGGUAUCAUCCUGUGUUUAUUUCUUCUUGCAAUAGUCAUUUGUUUGGUUUGGUGGCUGUUUUUAGGGAGAUGGUACAUUGCUUUCUUUAGACUCUCUAUGUGUCUUAUGAAUCGUUCAACUUAGAAAAAGCUUCUUGUGUGUGA